rnacentral:misc_RNA from 1 species
GGACAAGACCAGCUUAUUUAUGUUCAUUACUCAAAAUUAAUCACUUACACAUCCUCAAGGACAUAAAAAACAUAAAUUACAACUGUUUAUCUUCAGUGCUUGCCAUGCUUUGUGACAGAUGUUGGCUACCUAGUACACGAUUUUGAAGCUUGAGAAUGAAUGUUGCAGAUCUAAUCCCAUAUAUAUAAGUAAAACUGAUAUACGAAAUGAUUAAAUAACAUAUUUUGAACACCCUUAAUAUAAUAAGUUGCUAUUUCUGGACACCCUUUGUUAAAUUCCUGGCUCCACCACUGAUUGGUAACCAAUUUCAAGCAUGACCUGCAAAAGCAUGGUUGAAGACUCGGAACCAAUGUCGUUAUCAGAUAAAAUAGGUGCCAAUUCUUACUUAGAAUCAAGAUAGGCUGUCAUCCUCAUUUUUCCAGAACCAAAUGCUGCAUCAGUUAUGUCAAGCUUAUUCUUCUUAUGGGGAUAACUGAGUGAUAACAUAGUUAUGCAGAUUACUUUUUCUUAUGCAGCAAACAAAUGUUA